GUGGGGAAUCUUCCGCAAUGGACGAAAGUCUGACGGAGCAACGCCGCGUGAGUGAAGAAGGUUUUCGGAUCGUAAAGCUCUUUCGUUAGGGACGAACGUGCUCUUUGUGAAUAAUGAGGAGUAAUGACGGUACCUAAAUAAGAAGCCACGGCUAACUACGUGCCAGCAGCCGCGGUAAUACGUAGGUGGCAAGCGUUGUCCGGAAUUAUUGGGCGUAAAGCGCGCGCAGGCGGGACAUCAAGUCUGUCUUAAAAGUGCGAGGCUCAACCUCGUGAGGGGACAGAAAAGGGUAUUGUUGAGUGUCGGAGAGGAAAGUGGAAUUCCGAGUGUAGCGGUGAAAUGCGUAGAGAUUUGGAAGAACACCAGUGGCGAAGGCGACUUUCUGGACGAUGUCUGACGCUGAGGCGCGAAAGCUAGGGGAGCGAACGGGAUUAGAAACCCCUGUAGUCC
rnacentral:rRNA from 1 species